CCUACGGGAGGCAGCAGUGAGGAAUAUUGGUCAAUGGCCGGAAGGCUGAACCAGCCAUGCCGCGUGAAGGUCAGUGCCCUAUGGGCGUUAAACUUCUUUUGUGCGGGAGCAAUAAUGGUCACGUGUGGCCAGACGAGAGUACCGUACGAAUAAGCAUCGGCUAACUCCGUGCCAGCAGCCGCGGUAAUACGGGGGAUGCAAGCGUUAUCUGGAUUUAUUGGGUUUAAAGGGUGCGUAGGCUGUGAGGUAAGUCAGCGGUGAAAUGCCCCCGCGCAACGGGGUGAAGUGCCAUUGAUACUGCCUUGCUGGAAUGCGGAUGCCGUGGGAGGAAUGUGUGGUGUAGCGGUGAAAGGCAUAGAUAUCACACAGAACACCGAUUGCGAAGGCAUCUCACGAAUCCGCGAUUGACGCUGAUGCACGAAAGCGUGGGUAUCAAACAGGAUUAGAUACCCGUGUAGUC
rnacentral:rRNA from 1 species